GUUAGCAAGGGAAAACGGCCAUCGGAAUUUGCUUCACGAGAACAUUUGUGAAAGAUGCAGACGACGAACUCACUUCAUUGGUGUCUUCACAGGAUUCUCAGUUCUUUUAUGCUCAGCAAUUAAGAGGAUGAACGUGACAAGACGUUCCACAUUGGCGAAACCUGCUGCUUUUCAACAUGUUUACUUUUGAUAUUCACUAGUGAAUUCCUAAUUCAAUGAUCUUGUUGAGCAAAUAAAUAAUACAAAUUCAUCUACACAAGGGGAUUUCCACUAUUUGCAAGGAAGAUGACAUGGAACUAUUCUUCAGGGGGGCGAAAUGGGGGGAAAAACAGCAAGAAGCAAAACAUGUUUUCCUUUGAGUGAAGACAGAAGGAGCCAGAAGCCGGCCUGGGCUUGUCAGUGUGAACCCGAUCUUUCGGUACAGUACCCCUCUCUCAUAUAUGAAUGCAUUUGCACACACAUAGAGUUUUUUUUUUUCUGCAGUAAAAACACUGAAUUACAUAAAAUGAAGUGAUAUGGAUGACACAAGGCUGGGUCAGCAUCUCCCACUCUAUCGUAGUCUUGUUUUAGUAAAAAAAAAAAAAAAGGAUAUUAAAAUUUAAACUCUGGUAAUGUCCAAAAGCACAUAUAGACCAUACAUCAUCCUUUCUCCUUAAGGAAAGGUGUAAGGCAAGCCUUGAUGGAAGACGACAGCACACUGCUCACUGGUAGUUGUGUGUGAAGCAAACACUUUUCAGCUUCCGUUGGCCAUAUUUGAUGUGCUGUGUGUAUGUGUUUUGAUCAGUGUUCGUAUGUUAAUAAAAGUUCAAUCUGUUCAUCA